AGAGUUUGAUCCUGGCUCAGAUUGAACGUUGGCGGCAGGCCUAAAACAUGCAAGUCGAACGGUAACAGCGGAAGCUUGCUUCCGGCUGACGAGUGGCGGACGGGUGAGUAACACGUAGGAAUCUACCUAGUAGUGGGGGACAACCCGUGGAAACCCGGGCUAAUACCGCAUACGCUCUACGGAGGAAAGCAGGGGAUCUUCGGACCUUGCGCUAUUGGAGGAGCCUGCGUCGGAUUAGCUAGUUGGUGGGGUAAAGGCCUACCAAGGCGACGAUCCGUAGCUGGUCUGAGAGGACGAUCAGCCACACUGGAACUGAGACACGGUCCAGACUCCUACGGGAGGCAGCAGUUAGGAAUCUUGGGCAAUGGGCGCAAGCCUGACCCAGCCAUGCCGCGUGUGUGAAGAAGGCCUUCGGGUUGUAAAGCACUUUCAGCGGUGAAGAAAAGCUCAGGGCUAAUACCCUUGAGUGCUUGACGUUAACCACAGAAGAAGCACCGGCUAUCUCCGUGCCAGCAGCCGCGGUA
rnacentral:rRNA from 1 species